UACGAAGGGGACUAGCGUUGUUCGGAAUCACUGGGCGUAAAGCGCACGUAGGCGGAUUUGUAAGUCAGGGGUGAAAUCCCGGGGCUCAACCUCGGAACUGCCUUUGAUACUGCGAGUCUUGAGUCCGAUAGAGGUGGGUGGAAUUCCUAGUGUAGAGGUGAAAUUCGUAGAUAUUAGGAAGAACACCAGUCGCGAAGGCGGCCCACUGGAUCGGUACUGACGCUGAGGUGCGAAAGCGUGGGGAGCAAACAGG
rnacentral:rRNA from 1 species